UUGACGGGUGCACGAUGCGCGCGGUUUGUGUGUGUGUGUGUGCCAUGCUGUGUUCUGCAAUGCUUCGUUACCACGUUUAUCGAUUAUGCACGUUGGUUACUUGAUUCAAUGUCAAGUGUACCUUCCAAGACGAUCUAGGUCCUAGUCUCGUGACUGAAGGCGAGUGCGGACGUACAGCAGCCUUUUGACAAGACUGUCGCCGAGUGUACGGUACAUUGUGGACUGUAAAGCUGAAGAGUGCACAGUGGAUGCCUGAUUUUGGAACCGAGUGUGAUCGUCUGGGCGGUGUGUUCACUCUGCGGGGAUGAUGGCCAGAGGAAGGAUGAUAGACAGACGACAGCUUGCAGACGAAGAUGGGAGCGUUCUACCUGUGAGCCUGGUCGAGCUUAUAUUUUAUGGAUACACAUGCAUGGAUACACAUACAUGGAUUCCCUACAAGGACCCUGCGCAUCAAAAGCAAUCUGUCAUCAAUGUUAAGUAGACAGAUUAAACGAAACGAAGAUAUGACAGGUGUACACCAUAUUUUUCUUUCAUUUAACCUCUGCAUGUUUCCCAGUCAAUAAAUGUUUUUAUCCAUUUUCUUUUGUUGAGAAAUGUCUUUGUACAGCACAAGUGUCGUAGAAGGUGCAUACAUGCACUUUUGUAUGAUGCUUGGCUGCAUGUGUAUCAACCAGCAAACACAU